ensembl:lncRNA
UUUGCAUCCUCAGGGCUUAAGCCGGGACUUGUACACAGUAGGCGCUCAAUAAGUGCUGGUGGACUUGACUGAGCUCAUUUUGAUCCUCACAAGGACCCAGAGAGGCAAGUGUUGUCCUGAUCUCUGUUUUCCAGUGGACAGAAUGGGGGCAGAUGGAGGGGAAGUGACUUGCCCAGGUGCACACAGCUGCGGCUGAAUCUGAACUCUCCUCGGAAGCCCUCCGCCCAUGAUACCACCGACCAGAUGCCCAGAAAACAGGGAUAAAUAAUGGCAUGACCUGCCCGCCUCAUCGGGCUGCUCGAAGCAGAGAACAACAAGCAAAGAGCCAAAGAAGAACUCACAACGCACAUGAAGAGAACUCACUGUGGAGAUGAAGCAGGCAUCAGCUUGCAUAAAGAAUACAUGAAACCCAUCACACGGGAAGAGUCAUCAGGAGACGUACAGCGGCCCAGAACCCGAGCGUUCUAGGAGGUUCCCAGCCCCGCCGGAGCCAGCCGCCCCGACGCCCCGCACUGGCCUGGGGGCUCACCUUGGACCGUGCAGGCGACCUCGGGAAAGAGGCGGGCACAGAGCGCCGACAGCGAGCCCUCCGCCGAAGGUUGGUACAGACACGGACCGGCCAAGGGAGCCAGCCAGCCCACGGCGUAGUCGCGGCCCAGGCGCCAGUCCGGGCCGAGCGCGCAGAGCGGGGGCUCUGGUGGGAGCCAGCCCCACGGCGCCGGAGCCCGAGCGGACUCUCGUGGCCCGGGUUUGGCCGUGGACAAGAUAGAGUCGAUGGAGAAGGCCAGCUUGGAGGAGUCGGAGGGCCGCCGAGGGCCGGACGGGCGUCUGCCUUCGUCGUUCUGGGUCAUGCCGGAGAAGCUGGCCUGAACCUUCGCGGGCCGGGCGUGGACGGCGGCGGAGCUCGGGCACUGGAGCGAAAGAGAGAGACGCGGGUGAGGAAGACGGACGGGCGGGGAGCCUCCGGGAGGCUGAAGCUGGACGGCGUCUGGAGAGUCCGAGAGCAGAGGCGGCGGGCACCCGACCUACCGUCCCUCUCCAGGGAAGCGGGAGGCGGUCAAAGAUCCGACGGCCGGCGUGGCCAGGGCGGUCUGGGGCCCUAGUGGACCACAGACCUGCAGUCUCCUGCGAGUCGGAGUCCCAGGAUGGCCGCGGGAGAGCAGGUGCUCUGCCUGAGACGAGAAAAGAGGCUCUGCCUCGCAGCCCCUCGCUUCUCCCGGCUAAGCGGAGAAGUCGUCUGGGAGUCGGGGGCGGGGUCCCGAGCUUUUUAAGGCGACCCCCUGCCACAGACUCCCAGCGAAAUGGAUCAUUCAUAUGCAAAGUGGGCGGGCGUUCUUGGAAUUGGAGAUCUGGGUCUCCCCCAGGACCUCCCAGCCUCCAGCCACCACCUGAAGCGGAGGAGGGGCUUCCAGGCACCUAGAAAUCUGGGGUGCCGAGACUUUCCUAACUCCCGAGUUCGUGCCUCUUCCCCUUGCUCCUACGUACCAACACUCCCACUUCCGUCCCCCCACCCGGACGGGAAGAAGGGGAAGCUGAAGCCGAAGUCUGACAAGGUCUUGGGAGGGAGGGAGGCACCUCCCCGCUCCCCUCUUUCCUUUCUACGGAACCGCCCCCACCCUCCAUCCCCCAAGAGCAAAACAAAGAAAGC